rnacentral:rRNA from 1 species
GAUAGAGGCCUACCAUGGUGGUAACGGGUAACGGGGUGUUAGGGCACGACACCGGAGAGGGAGCCUGAGAAACGGCUACCACAUCCAAGGAUGGCAGCAGGCGCGCAAAUUACCCAAUCCCGACACGGGGAGGUAGUGACAAUAAAUAACAAUACGGGGUUCUUUCGGAUCUCGUAAUUGGAAUGAGUACAAUUUAAAUCUCUUAACGAGGAACAAUUGGAGGGCAAGUCUGGUGCCAGCAGCCGCGGUAAUUCCAGCUCCAAUAGCGUAUAUUAAAGUUGUUGCAGUUAAAAAGCUCGUAGUUGAAUUUCGGGGUUAGUAGGUUGGUCAUGCCUCUGGUAUGUACUGGUCUCACUGAUUCCUCCUUCCUUAUGAACCGUAAUGCCAUUAAUUUGGUGUUGCGGGGAAUUUGGACUGUUACUUUGAAAAAAUUAGAGUGUUUAAAGCAAGCUAACGCUUGAAUACACUAGCAUGGAAUAAUGAAAUAGGACGUUCGAUCUUACUUUGUUGGUUUCUAGGAUUGACGUAAUGAUUAAUAGGGAUAGUUGGGGGCAUUAGUAUUCAAUUGUCAGAGGUGAAAUUCUUGGAUUUAUUGAAGACUAACUACUGCGAAAGCAUUUGCCAAGGAUGUUUUCAUUAAUCAAGAACGAAAGUUAGGGGAUCGAAGACGAUCAGAUACCGUCGUAGUCUUAACCAUAAACUAUGCCGACUAGGGAUCGGAUGAUGUAAUU